AACGAACGCUGGCGGCGUGCUUAACACAUGCAAGUCGAACGCGAAAGGGACUUCGGUCCUGAGUAAAGUGGCGCACGGGUGAGUAACGCGUAGAUAACCUGUCUUCAUGUCUGGAAUAAUACGCCGAAAGGGGUACUAAUACCGGAUAUUCUUGCUUUUCAUAAGUUAUGCAAGCAAAGGUGGCCUCUGCAUAUGCUACUGCAUGAAGAAGGGUCUGCGUACCAUUAGCUAGUAGGUGGGGUAAUGGCCUACCUAGGCGACGAUGGUUAGCGGGUCUGAGAGGAUGAUCCGCCACACUGGCACUGGAACACGGGCCAGACUCCUACGGGAGGCAGCAGUGAGGAAUAUUGCGCAAUGGGGGAAACCCUGACGCAGCGACGCCGCGUGAGUGAGGAAAGGCCUUCGGGUCGUAAAGCUCUGUCAAGAGGAAAGAAGUGUACAAUGGCUAAUACCUGUUGUAUUUGACGGUACCUCUAAAGGAAGCACCGGCUAACUCCGUGCCAGCAGCAGC
rnacentral:rRNA from 1 species